rnacentral:lncRNA from 1 species
AUUAUGUAGAGACAAAUAAUGAGCAGUCCUGGUUUAGAUCAACCUAUUGAGAAAUCAAUAUUCAAAAUCAGGAAUUAACUAAAUACACUUGAAAAGAAUGAUAUUCAUAAUAUGACUAUGAUUCUAUUGGGAACAUAGGGUAUAAAUAGAGGCUCACAGAUGCUUAAAAAUCAACCUGUUUUCUAAGUUAGGUUUAAAGUUUCAAUGACUGCUAUGUUAAAAACAAAAAACUUUUUACUGUCUAUAAAUCAUAAAAUGAAAAU